GGAUCGCAAAACAAACCCCCCAUUUUGCAGAUGUCAACACUGAGAUUCAGAGAAUUGAAGGGGGCUGGGUGAGAUAAUGAGCUCCCGGCCCCAAGACUGCCCUUUGGAGGAUUUUAAGCAGGGAAGCGACACGGUCUCCUUUUAGGACGGUCUCCCCGGGCUCCGUGUAGAGGGUGGACCAGGGGGUGGGAGGCAGGUGGCAGGGGAGCAGGGAGGCUGUGGCAGGAGAUGAUGGGUCUAAAUGAAGGCGACAGUGAAUGGAAAAAAGAGAGGCUGCAUCCAUUGGUUGAACGGGGAUAGAGAAGUGAAGGGAACACUGACUAUACCUGUCCUCACCGAGCUUCUUGCUAGCAGAGGAGACACAAACAUAAUGGUGGGGUUUGUUAGAUAACAAUAAGGGAAAGACAGAGGCAGUGUGUAGGUGGAGACUGAACUGCAGAAGGCCUUAGUGAGAGGGUGACCUGUAAGCAAAGACUAGAGGAAGGGAGCUAGCUGGGUGAAUAGCGGGGUGGAUAUCUGGGAGAGGAGGACUCCAGGUGGAGGGAGCAGACAAGUGGAAAGGCCCCUAGGCAGGAGCAUGCUGGGGGGAUUUGAGGAACAGGGCAGACUGUGUAGGGGAUAGUUAAGAAUCAGGACAGAGAUCAGAUGUAGAGUGUGAGGAACAGGGAGCGGUUAAAGAUGAUUCCCUGUGUCUGCUUGGGUGACUGGGGGAUGGUAGAGAAAUGGAGAACCUUCCAGAGAUGGGUACUGUGGAGACUCUAGGUCUAGACAGCUCAGAUAACUACUGGUUCUCUCUGUCCUUCCCACAGUAAAUGCUCAGGGACUAUUUACUGAAUGAAUGGAUGAAGCCAUCCCACAGGGGUUCCCUGAAGCUGUGGGUGUGCAUGUCAUUGCCCAGAACCAGAAGAAAGUCAGAGAUUCUGGACUUUGACUCACAACUGUUCUGGAGGUGUGUAAUACUUGUUCCCACCUUCAAGAGGAAAUUGAGGCUCUGAAAGCAGUGCUCCUGCCCGCUACACCCUCCAUGACACCCCAGAGAUCCCAGCAUCCUCCCCUAGGUGCUGGGUCUUGCCUGCUCUGCUCUGAGUCUGAGGCCCCAGCUGCACAGACAGGCAGAUCUCUUCCUGGGGACCUUCCAGCUCUGAAGUUCUAACCUCUUGGUCAGCCCCUGGCUCCAUUUCCUCCCAAGGUUCAUCAUUUCUGGUGCCUCCUGGCUCAGGGGCCUGGAUGAACACACCAUAGUCAGCAUGAAAACAUGGUUGGAACCCCUCAGACCUCCUCCUGUCUCCUUGCCCUGAUGUUAGCUCCCCCUGCUGCUUUCUGGUGCCUGUCUGAGCCAUCACUACUGGAACGUCCAAGCCACCUGAUAGGCUAUGGCUCCUCCGGGAAAGCAGUCCUCCCCACCCCCACCCCUAAACUGCAGAGUGGAGAGAGGUGUGCAGAAUUCUCUUGCACAGAUUGUGAGAAAUGCAUGAGAAGCCCUCCACCAGGGCAACAGACAUCAGCCAAGGGCAAAAAGAAAAGUCAGCAGAUACAGUCUUUUCCAUCCUGGAUGGAUGUGGUGUGGUAGGGAGGAGAAAGCUGGCCCAGGCAGUAGAAAGCCUGGGGAGGAGGGGAUAUCUGAGAAAGGGCAGGCCCUAAGUUUUGA